CCUACGGGGGGCAGCAGUGAGGAAUAUUGGUCAAUGGGCGCGAGCCUGAACCAGCCAAGUAGCGUGAAGGAUGACUGCCCUACGGGUUGUAAACUUCUUUUAUAAAGGAAUAAAGUGAGGCACGUGUGCCUUUUUGUAUGUACUUUAUGAAUAAGGAUCGGCUAACUCCGUGCCAGCAGCCGCGGUAAUACGGAGGAUCCGAGCGUUAUCCGGAUUUAUUGGGUUUAAAGGGAGCGUAGAUGGGUUGUUAAGUCAGUUGUGAAAGUUUGCGGCUCAACCCCAUCCAGCCGGUGAAACUGGGGAUCUAGAGUGUGCGAGAGGUAUGCGGAAUGCGUGGUGUAGCGGUGAAAUGCAUAGAUAUCACGCAGAACCCCGAUUGCGAAGGCAGCAUACCGGUGCACAACUGACGCUCAGGCACGAAAGCGUGGGUAUCGAACAGGAUUAGAUACCCUUGUAGU
rnacentral:rRNA from 1 species